ensembl:lncRNA GBA1LP glucosylceramidase beta 1 like, pseudogene
GGUGGGGCUGCUUCUUGACUUCCGCGCCUAGUGCGCAGGGCCCCAUUCUCCAGUCCCGCCCACGCGCCUUUGGAGGCUGCGGUGGGAUUUCCUUUUGCCUUCGGUUGGGGCUGCUGUUUCUCUUCGCCGACGGUGCCUUCAGCCGCUACAAGAGCAGAAGCAGUGGGCAUUGGAUGGAGCUGAGUACAGGACCAUACAGGCUAAUUGCACCGGCACAGGAAUCGGAUAUAACAUCAUCUGGGUACCCAUGGCCAGCUGUGACUUCUCCAUCCGCACCUACACCUAUGCAGACACCCCUGAUGAUUUCCAGUUGCACAACUUCAGCCUCCCAGAGGAAGAUACCAAGCUCAAGAUACCCCUGAUUCACCGAGCCCUGCAGUUGGCCCAGCGUCCCGUUUCACUCCUUGCCAGCCCCUGGACAUCACCCACUCGGCUCAAGACCAGGGGAGCGGGGAAUGGGAAGGGGCCACUCAAGGGACAGCCCAGAGACAUCUACCACCAGACCUGGGCCAGAUACAUUGUGAAGUUCCUGGAUGCCUAUGCUGAGCACAAGUUACAGUUCUGGGCAGUGACAGCUGAAAAUGAGCCUUCUGCUGGGCUGUUGAGUGGAUACCCCUUCCAGUGCCUGGGCUUCACCCCUGAACAUCAGCGAGACUUCAUUGCCCGUGACCUAGGUCCUACCCUUGCCAACGGUACUCACCACAAUGUCCGCCUACUCAUGCUGGAUGACCAACGCUUGCUGCUGCCCCACUGGGCAAAGGUGGUACUGACAGACCCAGAAGCAGCUAAGUAUGUUCAUGGUAUUGCUGUACAUUGGUACCUGGACUUUCUGGCUCCAGCCAAAGCCACCCUAAGGGAGACACACCACCUGUUCCCCAACACCAUGCUCUUUGCCUCAGAGGCCUGUGUGGGUUCCAAGUUCUGGGAGCAGAGUGUGCGGCUAGGCUCCUGGGAUCGAGGGAUGCAGUACAGCCACAGCAUCAUCACAAACCUCCUGUACCAUGUGGUCGGCUGGACCGACUGGAACCCAUCAUUGUAGACAUCACCAAGCACACGUUUUACAAACAGCCCAUGUUCUACCACCUUGGCCACUUCAGCAAGUUCAUUCCUGAGGGCUCCCAGAGAGUGGGGCUGGUUGCCAGUCAGAAGAACGACCCGGACGCAGUGGCACUGAUGCAUCCCGAUGGCUCUGCUGUUGUGGUCGUGCUAAACCGCUCCUCUAAGGAUGUGCCUCUUACCAUCAAGGAUCCUGCUGUGGGCUUCCUGGAGACAAUCUCACCUGGCUACUCCAUUCACACCUACCUGUGGCGUCGCCAGUGAUGGAGCAGAUACUCAAGGAGGCACUGGGCUCAGCCUGGGCAUUAAAGGGACAGAGUCAGCUCACACGCUGUCUGUGACUAAAGAGGGCACAGCAGGGCCAGUGUGAGCUUACAGCGACGUAAGCCCAGGGGCAAUGGUUUGGGUGACUCACUUUCCCCUCUAGGUGGUGCCAGGGGCUGGAGGCCCCUAGAAAAAGAUCAGUAAGCCCCAGUGUCCCCCCAGCCCCCAUGCUUAUGUGAACAUGCGCUGUGUGCUGCUUGCUUUGGAAACUGGGCCUGGGUCCAGGCCUAGGGUGAGCUCACUGUCCGUACAAACACAAGAUCAGGGCUGAGGGUAAGGAAAAGAAGAGACUAGGAAAGCUGGGCCCAAAACUGGAGACUGUUUGUCUUUCCUGGAGAUGCAGAACUGGGCCCGUGGAGCAGCAGUGUCAGCAUCAGGGCGGAAGCCUUAAAGCAGCAGCGGGUGUGCCCAGGCACCCAGAUGAUUCCUAUGGCACCAGCCAGGAAAAAUGGCAGCUCUUAAAGGAGAAAAUGUUUGAGCCCA